AUUGAACGCUGGCGGCAUGCCUUACACAUGCAAGUCGAACGGUAACAGGUCUUCGGAUGCUGACGAGUGGCGAACGAGUGAGUAAUACAUCGGAACGUGCCUAGUAGUGGGGGAUAACUACUCGAAAGAGUGGCUAAUACCGCAUGAGAUCUACGGAUGAAAGCAGGGGAUCGCAAGACCUUGUGCUACUACAGCGGCCGAUGGCAGAGUAGGUAGUUGGUGGGAUAAAAGCUUACCAAGCCGACGAUCUGUAGCUGGUCUGAGAGGACGAUCAGCCACACUGGGACUGAGACACGGCCCAGACUCCUACGGGAGGCAGCAGUGGGGAAUUUUGGACAAUGGGCGCAAGCCUGAUCCAGCAAUGCCGCGUGCAGGAUGAAGGCCUUCGGGUUGUAAACUGCUUUUGUACGGAACGAAAAGCCCUGGGUUAAUACCCUGGGGUCAUGACGGUACCGUAAGAAUAAGCACCGGCUAACUACGUGCCAGCCGCCGCAGUAACAC
rnacentral:rRNA from 1 species